CACUGACGUCGCGACGCAUAUCAAUAAGCGGAGGAAAAGAAACUAACAAGGAUUCCCUAGUAACGGCGAGUGAAGCGGGAAGAGCUCAAAUUUGAAAUCUUCAAGGUUUGACCUUGACGAAUUGUAGUUUAAAGAAGUGUUUUCGGUUAGAGAGUUUGGUAAAAGUUCUUUGGAAUAGGACAUCAUAGAGGGUGAGAAUCCCGUAUUUGGAUCAUUAUUUCUAGCUUUGUGAUACACUUUCAAAGAGUCGGAUUGUUUGGGAAUGCAGUCCAAAAUGGGUGGUAAAUUUCAUCUAAAGCUAAAUAUUGGCGAGAGACCGAUAGCGAACAAGUACCGUGAGGGAAAGAUGAAAAGAACUUUGAAAAGAGAGUUAAACAGUACGUGAAAUUGUCAAAAGGGAAGCGUUUGACACCAGUGUUGUUUUUCCGAAAAUCAAUUAUAAAUGUUUUGUUUCUGAGGAGUGAUGACUUCAUCGGCUUCCUUCUCUCUUCACGAAACUUCUGUAAUGCACUUUUCGGUUAACAAGUCAACAUCAAUUUCUUUUGUUGUAAAAGAGUAUUCGGAAGGUGGCUUUCUUUUCGGAGAAAGUGUUUAUAGCCCUAUACUUCUACAAUCGGAGAGAUUGAGGUCUGCAGCGUAGAUCCUUCGGGGUUAGAUACACUUGUGCUAAGUUAUAGCUUUUCAUAGACAACUUGUUGACUAUGUUUAGUCAUGCGGCUUACUCGCUUAUGCUAUUUUACCUACGCUUAGGAUGUUGAGUCGUAGAGCACGCAG
rnacentral:rRNA from 1 species